CAUUUUUGUAGUUUUCAAACAAUAACUUGUGUUUAAUUGUAUGAAUAUCUCUGAAAUUAUACCACACGUUUCCAUACCAUGAAGGGAUAGUUAGUAUUGAUUUUGGGGGUUAUGGUCCCAAACAGUUUUGGAAUUAGGGGCCAAAAAGGGGGCCCAAAAUAAGCAUUUUUGUAGUUUUCAAACAAUAACUUGUUUAAUUGUAUGAAUAUCUCUGAAAUUAUACCACACGUUUCCAUACCAUGAAGGGAUAGUUAGUAUUGAUUUUGGGGGUUAUGGUCCCAAUAGUUUUGGAAUUAGGGGCCAAAAAGGGGGCCCAAAAUAAGCAUUUUUGUAGUUUUCAAGCAAUAACUAGUGUUUAAGUGUAUGAAUCUCUCUGAAAUUAACCCAAGAGUUUCCAUACCAUGAAGGGAUAGUUAGUAUUGAUUUUGGGGGUUAUGGUCCCAACAGUUUAGGAAUUAAGGGUAAAAAGGGGGCCCAAAAUAAGCAUUUUUGUAGUUUUCAAACAAUAACUUGUGUUUAAGUGUAUGAAUCUCUCUGAAAUUAUACCAAGAGUUUCUAUACCAUGAAGGGACAGUUAGUAUUGGCUUUG
rnacentral:lncRNA from 1 species